rnacentral:rRNA from 1 species
UACGGAGGGUGCAAACGUUGCUCGGAAUUAUUGGGCGUAAAGCGCACGUAGGCGGUUUCGUAAGUCGGAUGUGAAAGCCCAGGGCUCAACCCUGGAAGUGCAUUCGAAACUGCGGAGCUGGAGUAUGGAAGAGGGUCGCGGAAUUCCCGGUGUAGAGGUGAAAUUCGUAGAUAUCGGGAGGAACACCAGUGGCGAAGGCGGCGACCUGGGCCAAUACUGACGCUGAGGUGCGAAAGCGUGGGGAGCAAACAGG